CCUACGGGUGGCAGCAGUCGAGAAUCAUUCACAAUGGGGGAAACCCUGAUGGUGCGACGCCGCGUGGGGGAAUGAAGGUCUUCGGAUUGUAAACCCCUGUCAUGUGGGAGCAAAUUAAAAAGAUAGUACCACAAGAGGAAGAGACGGCUAACUCUGUGCCAGCAGCCGCGUUAAUACAGAGGUCUCAAGCGUUGUUCGGAAUCACUGGGCGUAAGGGGUGCGUAGGCGGUUUCGUAAGUCGUGUGUGAAAGGCGCGGGCUCAACCCGCGGACGGCACAUGAUACUGGGAGACUAGAGUAAUGGAGGGGGAAGCGGAAUUCGCGGUGUAGCAGUGAAAUGCGUAGAUAUCGAGAGGAACACUCGUGGCGAAGGCGGGUUCCUGGACAUUAACUGACGCUGAGGCACGAAGGCCAGGGGAGCGAAAGGGAUUAGAUACCCCGGUAGUC
rnacentral:rRNA from 1 species